rnacentral:rRNA from 1 species
AGAGUUUGAUCAUGGCUCAGGACGAACGCUGGCGGCGUGCUUAACACAUGCAAGUCGAGCGGUAAGGCCCCUUCGGGGGUACACGAGCGGCGAACGGGUGAGUAACACGUGAGCAACCUACCCUUCACUUCGGGAUAAGCCUCGGAAACGGGGUCUAAUACCGGAUAUCACUCACUACUUCAUGGUGGUGGGUUGAAAGUUCUGGCGGUGGGGGAUGGGCUCGCGGCCUAUCAGCUUGUUGGUGGGGUAAUGGCCUACCAAGGCGUCGACGGGUAGCCGGCCUGAGAGGGCGACCGGCCACACUGGGACUGAGACACGGCCCAGACUCCUACGGGAGGCAGCAGUGGGGAAUAUUGCGCAAUGGACGAAAGUCUGACGCAGCAACGCCGCGCGAGGGAUGACGGCCUUCGGGUUGUAAACCUCUUUCAGCAGGGACGAAGCGAGAGUGACGGUACCUGCAGAAGAAGGACCGGCCAACUACGUGCCAGCAGCCGCGGUAAUUC